rnacentral:misc_RNA from 1 species
GGAAGGAUCAUUAACACUAAUCCAAACACCUUAACCUAGCCUAUUGUUGCAGCUUCAGUGUGCGCUUGCGUGCUCAGUUGCUGCAUCAUACAAACCUAAUCUCAAAGGAGCCUAACUAAGCUCAACCACUAAAUCCAAAUUCUCAACGAUGGAUAUCUUGGUUCCCAUAACGAUGAAGAACGCAGCGAAGUGCGAUAAGCAGUGCGAAUUGCAGAACCGUGAGUCAUCAGAUUUUUGAACGCAACUGGCGCCGAUUGGUACUCCAGUCGGCAUGCUUGUUUCAGUGUCUUGUUUUCUCCUCACCCACAUCCUAAUGCGAGAGAUGACCUUCUCUUGUUAAACUCGAAAGCACUCUGUGCUCUGCAGGCGACUUCGGCUUGUUCGAUGGUCGCGCUCAAUGCAGCCGUCACAUUGCUCACAAUGUGAACUCAUUGAGAGUAGAGGCAGCGCAGCGCAAGCUGUAAGAGCUUAGUCAUCUAAACUUUACUUGUAUCUGAAAUCAAGCAGGAUUACCCGCUGAACUUAAGCAUAUCACUAAGCGGAGGAAAAGAAAUUAACUAAGAUUGCCUCAGUAACGGCGAGUGAAGCGGCAAGAGCCCAAACUGGAAAUCUUCACCUUGCAGGUGACGAAUUGUAAUCUAAAGGAUCAACACUUAACGGGCGGUGGCGCAGAAGUUGCCUCGAACGGCACGCCAGAGAGGGUGACAGCCCCGUAUGUGGUGCCACUGCUUACCGAGUGUGGUUCAAAGAGUCGGGUUGUUUUGUAUUGCAGCCCUAAGUGGGGGAUAAACUUCCUCUAAGGCUAAAUAUCUAUGGGAAACCGAUAGCGAACAAGUACUGUGAAGGAAAGAUGAAAAGAACUUUGAAAAGAGAGUCAAAAGACUUGAAAUCGUUGAGAAGGAAGCGGUAGAAAUUUAUUCUUCGGCGGAGAACGAAGGUUGCCGUCUAACCAUUGAGGGCUUUGAGCACUUUAUAGGCUUGGGUUUUCACUUGGGGAAGCGGUUGCUGGGUUGUCCGUUGUGAGGCAAGAUGAGUUCCCGCUCCCGCAAAAGCUUUCUAGACCUAGUAAGGUUCGCCUUGCAGUCUAGGGAUGCUAGUGGGCGUGAGGACUGAGGAUGCCUUGUGCGAUCUUGCCAAAAUGGUUUUUACCGACCCGUCUUGAAACACGGACCAAGGAGUCUAACAUAUAUGCGAGUGUGCUGGUGGAGAAACCAACACGCGUAAUGAAAGUGAUUGAUGCCAAGCGUAAGCAGCAGCAUCGACCGACCAUGCUCCUCCGGAAAAAGGUUUGAGUAUGAGCAUAUCUGCUAGGACCCGAAAGAUGGUGAACUAUGCCUGAGUAGGGUGAAGCCAGGGGAAACUCUGGUGGAGGCUCGUAGCGGUUCUGACGUGCAAAUCGAUCGUCAAACUUGGGUAUAGGGGCGAAAGACUAAUCGAACCAUCUAGUAGCUGGUUCCCUC